GGUGCCUGCUGCAGGACCUGCUCGAGUUUCUUAUUUCUCACAGUUGUUAGCCUUGAGGACUCUUCUUCGAUUUCUUCACUGAUUUCUCCUCUACUUUCAAGGCUUCAUCAUCUUUGCCUAAUUUAAUUGAUGAAGAAAAUCCACGGUACAUCAGAGGAAGCUGAGUACGUGUAACAACCAAGGAGCCCUUUGGGGCCAACCAGUGGCUACCAGAUCUUGAUGAAGACUGGAGAUUUCCAGAAUUUACUUCCUUGUGUCAGGCAACAGGUAAAUGUAGCAGCAAUAAUAGUUUGCAUCUCUGAUUUGUUACCAGUUAUGGAAGAUCAGGCAUUUUUGUUUUGGAAUGUCCUGCACAGCGCUUUCCAGAAAAUGAUCUCCAAAGCCUGCCACCAAAUUUCUUCUUCGUGGCGCUUGACAAUGCAGCAUUAGAAAACAACUAGAACACAUUGAUACGUCCCUGCAUAGAGGACCACAGUUUCAUAGAGAAAGACUUCUUUUAGAUGAAAACGCAGAAGUAACAAACCAAAUGAACAUAUCAAUCGUUGGUUACUUAAGAAGAUGAAAAAGACACAAGAUACUCAAUGGAUGUUUAUAAACGAAUUGAUGUCGCUAAGAAUUCUGUUGCUAUGAGAAGCUACCCUAGAAAGCCAGAAGACCAGAAGACCUGGAGAAACCCUAGAAAGCAGCUCUCCUGCCUCAGAGUCACGCCACAGUGUACACAAACUGCAGCAGAGGCCACCAGAACCCAGAAGUGAAAUGUGUUAAAGCAAGCGUGAAUUAGGCAGAGGAGGUUGCAAAGGAUUCAGCCCAGAAAAAUCAAUGCAAGACCAGAAGCAGAGAAAAAAGGAAAGCCUGCCCGGGACGUUUCUAGAAGCUCGCAACCAACGCCCUGCUAAGGAUCGGGACUCGGAGGAUGGCUCACCAUCACGGGAAUUCACCAAAGAAGAAAACAGAGCAAUCAGUGGGGCCAUACCUUUAAAAUAGGUUCGAGCCAGUGAAACAGAAGUUGAGAAUAGAAACGAAAGACGAGGAGAUGGGCCCAGGGUGUUCCCUGGAGGAGUGAGAGGCACAUGGAUCAGGAGGGAGGGAGGGAGGCAGAGGUGCCGACCGUCGUGACGGACCAUCGUGCCUUCUGGUGAGACCCUGCAGCCCAGAAGGCUGAAGCUGGUGGGGAUGACGGGCAAGGCAAAGAGGUCCAUUGGCUUUGGAAGAGCUGCCGUGGGAUGGGAGAGGGUGCUGAGCGCAUAUGUGCCGAGACAACCAAGCGUCACCGCGUCCAGUGGAGCUCGGACGGCGGAUGUUUGAGGGCCAGUGGCCCAAACAGGUCUGCGAUUUCCUCAAAGCUAACAGAUGAACGACUGCUUUUUAAUGGAAGCCGGGCCUCUUCACAAACAACAAACACCAAGAGAAGAAAAUGUAGGCUGGCUCCCUAAUAUACGUGAGACCCUUGUAGAAUAUUAAAUACAACUUUAUUGAUUUCUUCAUUCAACAAAAAAAGCGUGUCUUUUAUACGCCAUGCGCAAAAAAUUGAAGCCUGUCACCAAAUGGAACGUCAAAUGGAGAGACAUUAAUCAAAUCAGUGCACAAACUGAGCCUACUGAGAAGGAAAAAAGGGAAGAGCCCUGACGGCAUACAGUAGUGAUUUUUCUCUACGGCAGGGUGAGCUAGCAGGCUUCCCAGAGGGAAGCAAUAAAGACUGAGCGACAACCUGAACCCCGAGGAGCGUUCCUUGGAGGAAAAGAAUGUGUGAACUGUGUGUGCUGCGUGUGCCUUGGCAGAGAAGCAAGGCACACACAAGUAGGGCUGGAGGAGGGAGCACGGUGAGGAUGGGGCUGAGAGCCAGCCAGGGCGCCGGGGUGGGGAGGCUGGGCGAGGAGCAGAGCAGGCCUUGAGGCCAUGCUCAGUGCUUCCCCUUCUUCGUCAUGGCCAAGAAAGACAGUGGCACUGCCCGGCAGGAGCGCCUGACCAUCAGGUCUGCAUCGCUCAAAGCUCGUCUCGGGUGGACGUGAAAGUCCGGAGGCUCUGAGGUUAAAGGAAGUUGGUGUGAUGAAGGCCAGGAGAGAGGGGUCGUGGGGACAACUGGGCGUUCACAGGGUAAAGCUUUGCGGCGAUUGGACAGGGAGUGUGAGGGAGAAGGGGUGUAACUCGCUGGUUCCUGUCCCGCUUCAUCGGUACGGUACGUGGUAAAGCCCUGGGAGAGUGGAGGAAGACCUUGAGUUCAGAUUUUGUUACAAUGAAGUUGCUACGAUUGGAUUAAAAGCUCUUACCAGAUUUGCUUGGUAUCGAAUAAUCAAGAUUUAUAAAUUCAGUGAUGCUGCUAGAUGUCACCGACAUCCCAGCGUGUGGUUCUAAUGCUAACGUGCCGGCUUUGGGAGUUUACCUUUACCACUGUCACUUGUGGGGUGUGUUGAAUGAUGAUUCCUUCUCUGCAGAGAGAUGCUGUGGUGUGAUGACAUGCUUUCUGUCAGAGAACGGACAGUCAGACCCACUUAUGGGCUAGGGAAUCAGAAGACAGAAAUCGGGAGCAGCUUGAGUACAUGACAUGCCCUGUUAGCUUCUGGAGUCCCAGACGGCUUAGUGGUUAACUCGCUCUCUGACUUCAGACCUGUUCUUCAAUCUCUCUACACCUCCGUUUUUCAUGCAGUAUACGUAAAGAUGAUAAAAAGGGUGAACCAUAGUCUCUGUGGUACAGAGUACCUUCUAGCCAUAAAGCUUGAAAGAAUUACUUGAGAACAUAAGGCUACACAGUAAAUAGCCGAGGGCUCUUUCUGUAUCUUAGAUUUCUGAGUUUCUGUGUAAGAGAAGAGUUGCUUUUUUCUUCUUCUUCUAAAUAAACAGGAAGAAAUGAAAAAGAAGAAAGAGACUAAAGUAAAUAACAUGUCCUACAAUUACAGGAUUAAAAGGCCAAGAUAGAUAGGUAAAAGGAGAAAAAAUUAUGGGAAGAAAGGAGCUAAAGGUGUAGGGAAGGUGGAAUGGGUA